rnacentral:rRNA from 1 species
GACGAACGCUGGCGGCGUGCUUAACACAUGCAAGUCGAACGGAAAGGCCCUGCUUUUGUGGGGUGCUUGAGUGGCGAACGGGUGAGUAACACGUGAGUAACCUGCCCUUGACUUUGGGAUAACUUCAGGAAACUGGGGCUAAUACCGGAUAGUAGCUCCUGCUGCAUGGUGGGGGUUGGAAAGUUUCGGUGGUUGGGGAUGGACUUGCGGCUUAUCAGCUUGUUGGUGUGGUAGUGGCUUACCAAGGCUUUGACGGGUAGCCGGCCUGAGAGUGUGACCGGCCACAUUGGGACUGAGGUAGGGGCAAUACGCCUACGGGAGGCAGCAGUGGGGAAUAUUCCGCACUGGGCGGAGGCCUGAUGCAGCAACGCCGCGUGCGAGAUGACUGCCUUCGGGUUGUAACCCGCUUUCGACUGUGAAGAAGAGUGAGUGACGGUAAUGGGUAAGGAAGCAACGGCUAACUACGUG